rnacentral:rRNA from 1 species
ACAACUUUCAGCGACGGAUAUCUCGGCUCAGGCACCUAUGAAGGGCGCAGCGAAGCGGCGAUAGUCUUUGUGAAUUGCAGAUCUCCGUGAACCAAUGGCCCCCUGAACGCGCAUCGCACUCUUGGGACUUCCUGAGAGUAUGUUUGCUUCAGUGCUU